AUUGAACGCUAGCGGGAUGCCUUACACAUGCAAGUCGAACGGAGUGGCGAACGGGUGAGUAAUGUAUCGGAACGUGCCCAGUAGCGGGGGAUAACUACGCGAAAGCGUAGCUAAUACCGCAUACUAUUGGAGCGGCCGAUAUCGGAUUAGCGAGUUGGUGGGGUAACGGCUCACCAAGGCGACGAUCCGUAGCUGGUUUGAGAGGACGACCAGCCACACUGGGACCGAUACACGGCCCAAAAUCCUAGGGGCGGCCGCAGUGGGGAAGUUUGGCAAAUGGGGGAAACCCUGAUCCAGCCAUCCCGCGUGUGCGAUGAAGGCCUUCGGGUUGUAAAGCACUUUUGGCAGGAAAGCGGUACCUGCAGAAUAAGCACCGGCUAACUACGUGCCAGCAGCCGCGUAAUUC
rnacentral:rRNA from 1 species